rnacentral:lncRNA from 1 species
CUCACCGUCUCCGCUUCGGGAACAAGGUCUUCAGGAACACCGCAGGUGUAUUCAGAGGGAGAAAGCCCUGUCUAAGAAGCUGAUCCAUCAUCUCCUCAUCAUCUGCUUGUAUCUCAGAGACCAUGUUACAAGGAAUAAGGCCGAGCCGGGCACAGGUUUCCCCGCGGUAGAAUCCGUCAGCGUCUUUAUCACCAUAAACCUAGAGCCGAGGGGGAAAAUAAAUCCAGCGCUGUAAUUGAUUGGUUCAGAAAUACAAUAGUCCCACUGACGAUUCGGGAGCACAUCAGCUAAUAUUGGAGCGAAUAAGGACAUCGAAAACAAACCAUCCUUAGAGGACAGGGAUGGCAACCCCAGGCACUUUCCAAGGCAGGCGGGAAUGAGUGAACCAGGCCAGCGGGGGCCAAACACUGCCGUGCCCAUCAGGGCUCCGGCUCCGCUACAGCUCCUCACUGCCACGUGAGAACGUGUGCGCUGAGUGACCAGAUCUCUGUACCACAUCUUGUAAUUUCUAAAGAGAACCCAGAAAUCCAGACCUGCCUACAUGAUUUCUAUUUUUUUUUUUUGAGACAGCGUCUCACUCUAUUGGCCCAGGCUGGAGUGCAGUGGCGCAAUCUCAGCUCACUGCAACUUCUGCCUCCCAGGUUCAAGUGAUUCUCCUGCCUCAGCCUCCCGAAUAGCUGGGAUUACAGGCGCGUGCCACCAUGC